AAAAUAUAUAAAUAAAUAAAUAUAAAAUGGAAUAAAUAAGAAUAUUUAUAGAACUGAAAAUGAAACAGAAAUAAAAUAUACAGAAAGAGCCUCCUCAAAAUGUCGUCCACUGCCUCCUCUAAAAUCCUAGGGUCUGUGCCCUUUUGUAGGCCUUCAAGCUUGGUCUUCAUAUGCCCUUCCAUGUGGUGGACAUCUAAGCUCUAAGCGAAAAGUAAGCAGAGGGAGGUAGUAAAGUUGGCCCAUCUCCAAAAUCAAAACAAGGCCGAAAUGAGAAUGAUUAAAAAAAGAGAAAAGGGGGAUCAAACCAAUAUAUACAAGCCCAAAACGAACAAAGCCCAAACCCAACAGAUAAAUUAAACUAGGCUCAAAGGCCACAAACACAUCUCAGAGCAAUGAUUGAAGCCUGAAAUAAAAUCCAAGAACCCCAAUACCCACAAACAUGAAUCAAUAAAUAAACCCAAAUCAAAGCCCACAAAUAGCCCAAGUUCUCAAAACUAACACUUUGAAGAUUGAAAGCAAGGGUUUUGCUUUAUGCUCCUGAAGAAUCCUUAAGGUAAAAAGCGAAGUGCAGCAUGGAAGUAUGAUAGCAUGGGCAAUCCGUGUGGAUGGCGGCGCGGGGUUUGGGUUGUGGCCAUAAAUAGUGCAAUGGUCGACAGUUGUGCCAACGAGGGAGGCGCGUGGCCUCGUCGAAGAUGGGGGUAGUGGAGGCCAUGGAAGUGUGGGUCUCGGUGGCUGGAACGGAUCAAGUCGAUAGCGGCGGGCUAUAAUGGUGGAGAGGGGGCGAUAUGGUGGCUGUGAGGUACACGACUGGUGUGAAGGUGGCAAGAAGGGUGUGGAGAGAAGGGGGAUCGAGAGAGAGAGAGAGAGAGGGAGGGAUGUUAGAGAGAGAAUAAAAAAAGAUAGAGAGAGGGAGAGGUGUCAGUCCGGUGUCUGCUGGAGUGGUGCGAUGGCGGCGACUUGUCAAAGUGGGGUCACCAGACGAAGAUGGCUACGGUGCCGAUAGGGUAUGAUGGUAUGAGUGUGAAAAUGGGUACAAGAGGGAGUGGGAGAGAGAUGGAGGUAUUGGCCGACAGUAGUGCCACAAUUGUGUCGGUGAUGAGACUGGCAACGGUGAGGCCAUGGUGGCGAGGGGUGUGGUGCAGGGUUCAAAGUAUCGGCCGAGUCGUAUCCGCCUCGACACCUGUCGCGACGAGACCGAUACCAAAUACAGUAUAAUGCACGAACUCGGCUAGGAAUCGGUAAAACUCGGCUGACUCGUCUGAGUUUUCGAGUUAACUCGGUUAGGUUACAGAGAAUUUUCAAAUUUUAUUUCCAAUCACAAUAAAACAUCAGAACAUUUUCAUAUAAAAAAAAAAUCAAAGAUUGCCCUUUCAAAAGCAAGCACAUAUUCUGAAAUUUUAAACCAUCAAUGAGAAGAUCAAAGAAGACGAAGAAGAAAUAAUCCAACCCGUGACCCGUUUGGAAAUAAGUGGAGAAACCACCGAAGGAUGAGGGCAUGAUUUAGGAUUUACUUACCUGAUUUUCCUCAAAAUCGAGAAUUACCAGAGGGUGGAGCUUUGGUGUUGACGGUGGUGACUCGUCAAGUGGACUGGAUCUUUCACCGGCGACGUCGACGAGACAACCCCUUCACAGUCAAAUUGCUUCCCCUCCCGUGUUGGGUCUUGCACGGUUGCAAAUUUGCAAUUGCAGGUGGUGUUGUGGGUCUUGACGGCAAUUUCUGGGGACGGGAUGAUUGAAUG
rnacentral:lncRNA from 1 species